CAUUUCCAACCCUAGACAUGUCCAUUGCCGGUUCGAGAGAUAGAGCAUUCAGUUCGGCGGGAUGGAACACAGGUGCUGCAUGGCUGUGGUCAGCUGUUGUCGUGAGAUGUUGGGUUAAGUCCCGCAACGAGCGCAACCCCUUCCGCCAGUUGCCAUCAUUCAGUUGGGCACUCUGGUGGAACUGCCGGUGACAAGCCGGAGGAAGGCGGGGAUGACGUCAAGUCCUCAUGGCCCUUAUGGGUUGGGCUACACACGUGCUACAAUGGCGGUGACAGUGGGAUGCGAAGUCGCAAGAUGGAGCCAAUCCCCAAAAGCCGUCUCAGUUCGGAUUGCACUCUGCAACUCGGGUGCAUGAAGUUGGAAUCGUUAGUAAUCGCGGAUCAGCACGCCGCGGUGAAUACGUUCCCGGGCCUUGUACACACCGCCCGUCACACCAUGGGAGUUGGCUUUACCCGAAGGUGGUGCGCUAACCGGCAACGGAGGCAGCCAACCACGGUCAGGUCAGCGACUGGGGUGAAGUUGAAACAAAAGAGCCCCCGC
rnacentral:rRNA from 1 species